CCCCAGGCUACGAACACAACCUGACACAUCCCUACCAUACAGUACAUAAACACACACCCAGUGACCCUCUCCCUAGGCUACGAACACAACCUGACACAUCUCCACCGUACAGUAGAUAAACACACACACACCCAGUGACCCUCUCCCCAGGCUACGAACACAACCUGACACAUCCCCACCGUACAGUACAUAAACACACACACCCAGUGACCCUCUCCCUAGGCUACGAACACAACCUGACACAUCCCUAUCAUACAGUACAUAAACACACACACCCAGUGACCCUCUCCCUAGGCUACGAACACAACCUGACACAUCCCCACUGUACAGUACAUAAACACACACACCCAGUGACCCUCUCCCUAGGCUACGAACACAACCUGACACAUCCCCACCGUACAGUACAUAAACACACACACCCAGUGACCCUCUCCCCAGGCUACGGACACAACCUGACACAUCCCCACUGUACAGUACAUAAACACACACACCCAGUGACCCUCUCCCCAGGCUACGAACACAACCUGACACAUCCCUAUCGUACAGUACAUAAACACACACACCCAGUGACCCUCUCCCCAGGCUACGAACACAACCUGACACAUCCCUAUCGUACAGUACAUAAACACACACACCCAGUGACCCUCUCCCCAGGCUACGAACACAACCUGACACAUCCCCACUGUACAGUACAUAAACACACACGCCCAGUGACCCUCUCCCCAGGCUACGAACACAACCUGACACAUCCCUAUCGUACAGUACAUAAACACACACACCCAGUGACCCUCUCCCCAGGCUACGAACACAACCUGACACAUCCCUAUCAUACAGUACAUAAACACACACACCCAGUGACCCUCUCCCCAGGCUACGAACACAACCUGACACAUCCCUAUCGUACAGUACAUAAACACACACGCCCAGUGACCCUCUCCCCAGGCUACGAACACAACCUGACACAUCCCCACUGUACAGUACAUAAACACACACACCCAGUGACCCUCUCCCCAGGCUACGAACACAACCUGACACAUCCCCACCGUACAGUACAUAAACACACACAUGUACACGUACAUAGACACAAUUUAGGGAACAGAAACAGAAAGAUAGUCUGACACUAAGAAACA
rnacentral:lncRNA from 1 species